AUGAUAUCCACACGGGAGUUGAUCGGAGAUUCGGCUUACAUAUGGCUACAACAAUCAUCAUCCUUCACCCAAUUUACAGUUCAUUAGGAAAUGGAAAACAAACACACACAAAAAAAAGCAUAGCAGAAUCAUACCCAAAAGAGGAGAAAAUUAUGAGGUUGGCUGAGAAGCUUCAACGCACUUGAGGUCGGCUUCCAAAAUUUUCAGUGGGUGCCUCGACUGCAAGAAUUUAGAUAUGACAACAUUUGUACUACCCCUCUCCCAAUUUGUACUUGAGGUACCUGAGCAGUUUAUGGUUCUCCAUUGAACUAAUUUGGUUUUCGAAUUGCACGGUUUCUUCUCUUUUUAUGAAUUUAGUUCGGGUUUUGUGAUUGGUGCUACUGAAAUUUUACUGAUUCAGUCAUUCAGACUUGAAGGUUUUGGCUCUUCGCUUUUAUGAUGCUCUAUUAUACUUCUAUCAGAAUGCAAGGGAAGGUAAUGAACUAAGGAAUUAAAGACUAAAAAGAAAAGCAUAAACUGAUCGACAUGGUGAUAAAACUUGUUCCCCUUCUCUUCUCAUCCGUUCUCUUCUGUCUUUUGCUUCAUUCGGCUUUUGUUUAUGAGCUGUUAGAAUUUGUGGGCCGACUAGAUGAUUGGUGUAAGAAGAGUGGGUUAGGAUGUGAGAAUUUAGUAGUGCCUGAUACCAUCACAAUCACAGUGUUCCAGGGAGAGAAAUACUAUUUACGGCACCAUUUUACUAAACUUAAUGGGUGAAUUUACCCUUUACUAUAGUAUCAUAUAGUGAAAUGGGGUGAACUUACCCUUCACUAUAGCAUCAUAUAGUGGAAUUUACCCACUAUAUGGUUUGUAAAUGUUUAUAUAAUAAAUUGUAAUAGGUGAUUUAUUAGGAACUAUAUGGAAGAGGUUUUGCAUUAGGGAAAAUCUGACUUUUGAUAUCAGUUGGUAGCUGCUAAAUUAUAAACAGAGCCUACUUGCUAUAUGAUUGGUUCAAACAGAGUGGUUUGGGUAUGACUAUGAGGUGUUAGUAGUUGAUAAGUUACUAACUAAUUGUUCUUACAAAAGUAUGCCUAACUUCUUUUACUUUUGUUGUUUUGUCUUGAUGCUGCUCAUAUCUAUGUUAUUAAUUCCACCAGGAAGUGUUCUAUAAUCGAUUAGAUGGAUAAUGUUAUUGAAAAUCAAGUAAACAGCUUUUUAUUUUUUCUUUUGGUGCAGGGUGAGGUCAGAUAUUUGAUUGAAGAAUUAGGGAAGAAUUGGUGGUCUAAAUUUCAUGUUGGGACGUCAUGGUGAUUAUUGAACAAAUUAAUGACAACCAGAGUCCAGAUGCCUUUCUUGAUUAGUGAUUUCUUUGCAACAAUGGCAAAU